rnacentral:rRNA from 1 species
AUUCCCUAGUAGCGGCGAGCGAAGCGGGAAGAGCUCAAAUUUAUAAUCUGGCACCUUCGGUGUCCGAGUUGUAAUCUCUAGAAGUGUUUUCCGCGUUGGACCGCACACAAGUCUGUUGGAAUACAGCGGCAUAGUGGUGAAACCCCCGUAUAUGGUGCGGACGCCCAGCGCUUUGUGAUACACUUUCAAUGAGUCGAGUUGUUUGGGAAUGCAGCUCAAAUUGGGUGGUAAAUUCCAUCUAAAGCUAAAUAUUGGCGAGAGACCGAUAGCGAACAAGUACCGUGAGGGAAAGAUGAAAAGCACUUUGGAAAGAGAGUUAACAGUACGUGAAAUUGUUGGAAGGGAAACGCUUGAAGUCAGACUUGCUUGCCGGAGCUUGCUUCGGUUUGCAGGCCAGCAUCAGUUUUCCGGGGUGGAUAAUGACGGUUUGAAGGUAGCAGUCUCGGCUGUGUUAUAGCUUUCCGUUGGAUACAUCCUGGGGGACUGAGGAACGCAGCGUGCUUUUUGCGAAAGACUCGUCUUUUUCACGCUUAGGAUGCUGGUGGAAUGGCUUUAAACGACCCGUCUUGAAACCACGGACCA